AGACCCGAAACCCGGUGAUCUAGCCAUGGGCAGGUUGAAGGUUGGGUAACACUAACUGGAGGACCGAACCGACUAAUGUUGAAAAAUUAGCGGAUGACCUGUGGCUGGGGGUGAAAGGCCAAUCAAACCGGGAGAUAGCUGGUUCUCCCCGAAAGCUAUUUAGGUAGCGCCUCGUGAAUUCAUCUCCGGGGGUAGAGCACUGUUUCGGCUAGGGGGCCAUCCCGGCUUACCAACCCGAUGCAAACUGCGAAUACCGGAGAAUGUUAUCACGGGAGACACACGGCGGGUGCUAACGUCCGUCGUGAAGAGGGAAACAACCCAGACCGCCAGCUAAGGUCCCAAAGUCAUGGUUAAGUGGGAAACGAUGUGGGAAGGCCCAGACAGCCAGGAUGUUGGCUUAGAAGCAGCCAUCAUUUAAAGAAAGCGUAAUAGCUCACUGGUCGAGUCGGCCUGCGCGGAAGAUGUAACGGGGCUAAACCAUGCACCGAAGCUGCGGCAGCGAACGUAUCACCCAAGACAACUUUACGGAGUUGACGAUUGACGGAGCGAAGCGACGUCAAAGCGUUCAUUAAAGUCGAGUUGGCUUAGGGAUACGUUCGUUGGGUAGGGGAGCGUUCUGUAAGCCUGUGAAGGUGUGUCGUGAGGCAUGCUGGAGGUAUCAGAAGUGCGAAUGCUGACAUAAGUAACGAUAAAGCGGGUGAAAAGCCCGCUCGCCGGAAGACCAAGGGUUCCUGUCCAACGUUAAUCGGGGCAGGGUGAGUCGACCCCUAAGGCGAGGCCGAAAGGCGUAGUCGAUGGGAAACGGGUUAAUAUUCCCGUACU
rnacentral:rRNA from 2 species